rnacentral:lncRNA from 1 species
UUAAACUUCAUCUAGUGUUAGUCUUGAUUUUGCAGAAUGCUUCAUAACUUUGAGGGAAGUCUCUUCACUGGCCUUAUGGGGGAGCUAAUUUUUUAUGGUUUUUUGAACUCCUUUGCACUAACUAUUCAAUACUGAUUGUUUUAGCUGAUGGCGUUAAGGUGCACGAAGCAUUCUCACAAGCAUUAAGGGCCACGGAUGUUGGGAGAAAAUGGAUAUUGGAAAAUGAGAUAAUGCAGAGAAGUGAGGAAGAGAACUGAAAUGGAACAAAAAAAAAAAAGUCACGGCUACCACUAGGACCAUAGGCUCAGGACCUGACCCUAAUGGGAUGGAACCCUGUUAGCCCUGGCUCUAUCAGUGAGCUAUGUUCACUGCUCUGAUGUACCACUGGUCUGUGAGUCGACCACUUGAAACCAG